UUAAAUUUGUAAGGGCGUAUGGUGGAUGCCUUGGCAUUAGAAGCUGAUGAAGGACGUGACUAACUACGAUAUGCUUCGGGGAGAUGUACGUAAUCUUUGAUCCGGAGAUUUCCGAAUGGGGGAACCCACUAGUGGUAAUGCGCUAGUAUCACAUGGUGAAUACAUAGCCAUGUAGAAAGCAACCCAGUGAACUGAAACAUCUUAGUAACUGGAGGAACAGAAAGAAAAAUCGAUUUCCUUAGUAGUGGCGAGCGAAAUGGAAAGAGCCCAAACCGACUUUAGAGUCGGGGUUGUAGGACCUCUGUAUAAGAGUAAGAAAAUCAUAACAUAGUUGAACUAUUCUGGAAAGUUUGGCGAAACAAGGUGAUAGCCCUGUAAACGAAAUGUUAUGGUCUCUUUGAGGUAUCCUGAGUACAGCGAGACACGUGGAAUCUUGUUGGAAUCUGCGGGGACCAUCCCGCAAGGCUAAAUACUCUCUAAUGACCGAUAGUGAACAAGUACCGUGAGGGAAAGGUGAAAAGAACCCCGGAAGGGGAGUGAAAUAGAAACUGAAACCGUAUGCUUACAAAAAGUUCGAGCCCGUUAAUGGGUGAGAGCGUGCCUUUUGCAGAAUGAACCGGCGAGUUAUUGUAUUAUGCAAGGUUAAGUCGAACAGAUGGAGCCGAAGCGAAAGCGAGUCUGAAUAGGGCGCUUAAGUAUGAUGCAAUAGACCCGAAACCGAGUGAUCUAGCCAUGAGCAGGUUGAAGUUGGGGUAAGACCCAAUGGAGGACCGAACCGAUAUGCCCGGAAACGCGUACGGAUGACUUGUGGUUAGCGGAGAAAUUCCAAACGAACUCGGAGAUAGCUGGUUCUCCCCGAAAUAGGUUUAGGCCUAGCCUUGAUUGAAUCUGCCCGGAGGUAGAGCACUGAAUGUGCGAUGGCGUCGUCUAGAUGUACUGAGUACAAUCAAACUCCGAAUGCUGGGUAGUACUAAUCAGGAGUCACUGUAUGGGUGAUAACGUCCAUACGGGAGAGGAAAACAAUCCGGAUCGCCAGCUAAGGUCCCAAAAUUUGUGUUAAGUGGGAAAGGAUGUAGAGUUGUCAAAACAGCUAGGAGGUUGGCUUAGAAGCAGCCACCCUUUAAAGAGUGCGUAAUAGCUCACUAGUCGAGUGACACUGCGCCGAAGAUGUACCGGGGCUAAACACAAUACCGAAGCUGCGGACUUGCACGUAAGUGUAAGUGGUAGGGGAGCGUUCUAAGGGCGUUGAAGGUAGACCGUGAGGACUAUUGGAGCGCUUAGAAGUGAGAAUGCCGGUGUGAGUAACGAAAAUUGGGUGAGAAUCCCAUUCACCGUUUGACUAAGGGUUCCUGGGUAAAGUUCGUCUUCCCAGGGUAAGUCAGGACCUAAGAUGAGGCUGAAAAGCGUAGUCGAUGGACAACAGGUUGAUAUUCCUGUACCACCUAUAUGACUGAAGGAGUGACGGAGAAAGCUAACGAGGGCCAGUUAAUGGAUUCUGGUCUAAGUGCGUAGGCUAGUAUGUUGGCAAAUCCGCAAUACUAUAAUAGCUGAAACAUGAUGGGGAAGUAAGUCUUCGGACGAGCGAACUCUCGUGAUGCUAUGCUUCCAAGAAAAGCUUCUAGGGCUAAUUGUAUAGGUGCCUGUACCGACAACCGACACAGGUGGUCAAGGAGAGUAUCCUAAGGUGAGCGAGAGAACUAUGGUUAAGGAACUCGGCAAAAUGACCCCGUAACUUCGGGAGAAGGGGUGGUCUAGCGAUAGACCCGCAGUGAAUAGGCCCAGGCAACUGUUUACCAAAAACACAGGUCUCUGCUAACACGAAAGUGGAUGUAUAGGGGCUGACGCCUGCCCAGUGCUGGAAGGUUAAAGAGAUUAGUUAGUAUGACGUAAGUCGAUAAUACGAAGCUUUGAACUGAAGCCCCAGUGAACGGCGGCCGUAACUAUAACGGUCCUAAGGUAGCGAAAUUCCUUGUCAGGUAAGUUCUGACCCG
rnacentral:rRNA from 1 species